CGCACGCACGCUCACUCACACACUCGCUCUGCCUCUCUGACACAGACUCUCUACUUAGUGCAUUGGAGAGAGGACUGAGGCUCACACUAUCAGCACAGCUUCUCAAUGGGGGGACGCAGCCAAGAGCAGACAGAGCAGUCAUUCCACUGGAGCCUUCCGCUGCGCGCGUGAGAAGGAGACGACAAGUGAGGGGGGGUAAAUUAGCUCCCUGUCAUCACAACAUAGGAGUUGUACUGACGGAGAAGAGGCACAGACUGAAGGAAGGAGAGGACAAGAGAUCUGCACGUAUGUGGCUGAUACAGCAGUGACAUGUUCAGCCUCCCAUCACCUCAGAUCCUGGCCAGUUUGUGACACAGACCCCUGGGUGUUUUGCUUUUGGUGACUGUGCUGCCAAGGAUUUCAAAAGGACCCGAGCAGCAGGGGUCCAGAGGAGGUGAAUACUGAGGAGGGGAGAAAAAAAACAGCAUUUUAGAUCUUUUUGUGCGGUGUUCGGCUUACCUGGUACUGGAAUUUCAGGCGGGAAUCCCUGGCUUCAAAGUAUGGAUGGAUUUAAGACAGAGGAGUGAGUCUGACUGAGCUCCUUUCCUUGUGAACACACUGCUCAGACACGGCCUUACCAUGUCCUGGUUGCUGGCCAUGUGGAUUAGCCUCGGCUUCCUGCUGUUGUGCCAGGCCACACUCUACCAGACCAUCCAGCAGCACCAUGUGGCCCGGCCCGGUCGCACCGACAUUCUCACCCUGGAGGGAGGUACGUGUGAGGUGAUUGCCGCCCACCGAUGCUGUAACAAGAAUCGCAUCGAGGAGCGUUCGCAGACAGUCAAGUGUUCCUGUUUACCGGGGAAAGUGGCCGGGACGACACGCAACAAACCCUCCUGUGUGGAUGCGUCCAUUGUAAUUGGGAAAUGGUGGUGUGAGAUGGAACCGUGUCUGGAGGGAGAGGAGUGUAAGACUCUGCCUGACAACUCUGGAUGGAUGUGCUCCUCUGGGAACAAAAUCAAGACUACAAGAAACACCCAGCCAUACUCCCCUUUUUAGCUUCCGGAAGCAAAAUGCAGAGGAUGGGUCAACAGAAAUUGAGCUGCAUUCUUGCUUCUGUAAAGAGAGGGAGCCCUUCAUUGCCUGUUCUGUAGCAGCAGACAAGGCAGGCCCUUUUGUUUGUGGAAGUCACAGUGAGAGCGAGACUGGGGAGCAUCUUCCAAAAACACUCGCCCACCAUAGAUCUGCAUUACCCGCUCUGCUUACUGAAUAGAUCAAUCCAUUUCUGCUCCCUCCGAACAAUUAUACACCUUAAGAGAGACAGGCAGAACGAGCGGGGCUGUAAUGAAAACAUCGCCUCUCCUAUUCGUUCUUCUCCCCUGCUUUUCAUGAUAGCGAGAAGAAUUAUGCUCAUUUGAUAACCUCACUGUUAGUGUGGUAGAUUGAAUAUGAAUUUGUCAUCAAGGCAGGAAUGUCAUACACACGUAAUACAAUCCUCAUCAGGCAUUCAAUGAAUUUUAAUGGCUUUUUUUUUUUUUUUUAGUUGUUUCACAGUGCAACUCAUGUACAAUUGUAUUUUUAAACUGCAUAAGGCCACAGCAUUUCUACUAUGGAGUCUGUAAUUGUUCAAAUCAGUGAGUGCUAAGCAUUGAACUCACCACCAUCAUUCACACUUUGCAGUGUGUGUUCCGUUCAACUUGUCUGGCAUGAUUUACUUGCUGUUCAGAGAUCCACAUGUCCCUUAUUAAAAGGAGCAGAGGGGCACUUUUUCAAACAAAAUAACACACUGUGACAGGAUGUAGCCCAUCUGCGAGACAGUUUCAGAGCAAAAGUGACCUGCCAGCAGACGCAUCACCAUCUAUAAUUUGUCAAAUCGGGAGACCGCACGCUGCAGUUGAUCAAAAAUGAACUCAGAGCGGCCAUGCCACAGACAGUUCAACUCCACCGACAAAUCAUCUGUUCCAUCUCUGUGCUUGACAACACCUCUCCUCCUCCUUCAGUCCUGUAUAAUGUCAUAACAAUGAUAAACAUAAAACCAUACACAAAUGGUAAACAGUGUGUCAUUUGAGAUGAGUAAUAAAAUGCUUUUUAAAAACGUAUGAAAUUAUGAGCCGACAGAUGCAGAACACGCUGCUAAGAAUGGCCAGGUUGACAUUUUAUACAGUUUUAGGGGGAGGAGGAGUGCUACUGAUUAAUUUAAACCCAUUUUCUUUUUCCAUUGUCAAUGUCACAUUAAAUGGAUCUUAAUGUAUUUUGUUGUCUGAGUCUUCUGUUUUUAGAAGGUGCUGUUUAGUGCUGUUUGAAGAGGUUUCUCAGCUGGCAUGAUUGAUUUGUUCAGCACUAAACAAGAAAGGGGGGAAAGGGUAGGCUGUGUUUGCACUAAAUUCUUUUGCUAAGGCAAUUGUCCUUGGCUCCUUUUACUAACUGAAGACUGAGUAAAUUGCAAUUUAAUGCAGCCAGAAAAUUAGAAUGCAGACGGCUUAGUUGCCAGCAAGGAUGGGAUAGGCAGGAAAUCCUUGAGCAAUCCGCUGCUACCUGCUGCACUGUUCAUUUGAAGAGACAGAGGACAAAAAAGAACAGAGGACACUUUCAGUCACACACACACACACACACACGCACGCACUCACACACACGCACAUGGGUGGAAAUGACAGCAUUUGCAUACAACCCCUCUUCUCCCACUAACAAACCUCUGGUGGAUUGUUUCUGAGAUGGAGAGUGAGCCGUAAUGUGUAACCUGUUACUGCUCUUGUUCUGACAGAGGUCAUUCUUUGCUAUAACAUUCUGAUAUGUCGUUGUACAGUAGAUGAUACAGAUGCAAAUGCCGGACAGAUGAGCCCAGAGGAUUACUGUGUUUAAGGAUCAAAGGGAAAAAGGGACCCAAUCCGUACAGAGAGAGACACUGUCAAAAGACCUGGAGGUGAAAUCAACAUGUUAA